rnacentral:misc_RNA from 1 species
UCACUGCCAUUGUAGCUGUCUGAGUC